UACGUAGGGACCAAGCGUUGUUCGGAAUUACUGGGCGUAAAGGGCGCGUAGGCGGUUCGAUAAGUCCUGUGUGAAAUCCCUCGGCUCAACUGAGGAACUGCACGGGAGACUGUCGGGCUUGAGUUCGGGAGAGGGAAGCGGAAUUCCGGGUGUAGCGGUGAAAUGCGUAGAUAUCGGGAGGAACACCAGUGGCGAAGGCGGUUACCUGGAGCUUUGCUGACGCUGAUGCGCGAAAGCGUGGGGAGCGAUCCGG
rnacentral:rRNA from 1 species